GCCCGAGAGGAGCUGGGGGAGGACGGUGGCCCGCGAGGCUCGUCGCAGACAACGCGGCGGCGAUGUCCGCGAGCCAGGCGAGUGCCGCGGCGGCAGCGGCGGGGCCUUGCGCGCGGCAGGGCGGCCUGGGCUUCGGCCUCCCUCCGGUUCCCUGGAAGCGGGCCCGCGACCAGCGCGGGAGCAGCAGCAGAGGCGGAGGCUCCAGCGCGUCUCUCUCCUCCCCCUCAGCCUGAGCCGGGGGAAGCCAGGCGGCCCGGGUGUCUGGAGGGGGGGGGUCCGCUGCCCGAGAAUGGGAAUUCUCUUCACUAGAAUAUGGAGACUGUUCAAUCACCAGGGUCCGACGUCCCUGAGUAGCACGGCCUGGCCUGUCUUUCAGCCCUUUCUUUGCUCACCAGUUGUGUUUGGACACCACAUAGAAGUGCUGGGGUCUUCUGGAAUGAAGGUUAUAGAUUGCUGCCCUAACCGCACCACUGAGCGACCGAGGGUUGCAGAAUGCGGAAAACGGGAGGAAUCGCUCGACUUGUCCAUUACACCUCUGGUUUAUGAGCCUGCCCUCCACUGCCACCCGUCUUUGUGUGUGUUGGGGGCAGGGGGGGUUCUUCUGCCUCCUGAAUAGAGAUGGACUUCUCUCCAUUUGUUUUACUUAUUAUAUCUGUGUUUAAGGUUAAGCUUAAGGUCAUUUUUCUACUCGUGUGG
rnacentral:lncRNA from 1 species